rnacentral:lncRNA from 1 species
AAAGGCAGAAGCUAUGAAUUUGUGCUAUUGUCUGUGGGCUCCUUUCAGUUCUCAAACAGUAGCUGCCACUUCUAGCUGGGAGAGAAAUGAGAGCUCUGCUCAUGGUGAUCCAGUAUCUCCAGAAUCCAUCACCACUGCUGACCUCCCACUCCAUGUCUCCAAGUGCUCUGCUAUACCUGCCACCAGCAGCUGCCACCUCCAGACUUUGGAAGGUUAUAAUAAAACCUCUGUUCUACGAUCUGCCUUCUGCUUCAACAUCCUCACUCCCCACAAACAAUUCUAAUAAACA